rnacentral:rRNA from 1 species
AUUGAACGCUGGCGGCAGGCCUAACACAUGCAAGUCGAACGAGUGGCGGACGGGUGAGUAAUGUCUGGGAAACUGCCUGAUGGAGGGGGAUAACUACUGGCAACGGUAGCUAAUACCGCAUACCAUCGUAUGUGCCCAGAUGGGAUUAGCUAGUAGGUGGGGUAAAGGCCUAACAAGGCGACGAUCCGUAACUGGUCUGAGAGGAUGAUAAGUAACACGGGAACUUAGAAACGGUCAAGACUCCUACGGGAGGGAGCAGUGGGGAAUAGUGGACAAUGGGCGAAAGCCUGAUCCAGCCAUGCCGAGUGUGUGAAGAAGGUCUUCGGAUUGUAAAGCACUUUAAGUUGGGAGGCGUUACCAACAGAAUAAGCACCGGCUAACUUCGUGCCAGCAGCCGCGGUAAUAC